CCUUAGUUGUCCAUCAUUAAGUUGGGUCGACUUUUAAGGAAACUGCCGGUGGAUAAGCCGGAGGAAGUGGGGAUGACGUCAAGUCCUCAUGGCCCUUACAGGCUGGGCUACACACGUGCUACAAUGGCAUCUACAGUGGGCAGCUAUUCCGCAAGGAUGCGCUAAUCUCCAAAAGAUGUCUCAGUUCGGAUUGUCCUCUGCAACUCGAGGGCAUGAAGGCGGAAUCGCUAGUAAUCGUGGAUCAGCAUGCCACGGUGAAUACGUUCCCGGGCCUU
rnacentral:rRNA from 1 species